UGACUUACGAUCUUGAUUAUCUGAUGCCC
rnacentral:piRNA from 1 species